AGUGAACGCUGGCGGUAGGCCUAACACAUGCAAGUCGAACGGCAGCACAGUAAGAGCUUGCUCUUACGGGUGGCGAGUGGCGGACGGGUGAGGAAUACAUCGGAAUCUACUUUUUCGUGGGGGAUAACGUAGGGAAACUUACGCUAAUACCGCAUACGACCUACGGGUGAAAGCAGGGGAUCUUUGGACCUUGCGCGAUUGAAUGAGCCGAUGUCGGAUUAGUUAGUUGGCGGGGUAAAGGCCCACCAAGGCGACGAUCCGUAGCUGGUCUGAGAGGAUGAUCGGCCACACGGGAACUGAGACAGGGUCCAGACUCCUACGGGAGGCAGCAGUGGGGAAUAUUGGACAAUGGGCGCAAGCCUGAUCCAGCCAUACCGCGUGGGUGGAGAAGGCCUUCGGGUUGUAAAGCCCUUUUGUUGGGAAAGAAAAGCAGCAGGUUAAUACCCCGCUGUUCUGACGGUACCCAAAGAAUAAGCACCGGCUAACUUCGUG
rnacentral:rRNA from 1 species